rnacentral:rRNA from 1 species
UACGUAGGGGGCAAGCGUUGUCCGGAUUUAUUGGGCGUAAAGAGCGUGUAGGCGGCCAUGUAGGUCCGUUGUGAAAACUCGAGGCUCAACCUCGAGACGCCGAUGGAAACCAUGUGGCUAGAGUCCGGAAGAGGAGAGUGGAAUUCCUGGUGUAGCGGUGAAAUGCGCAGAUAUCAGGAAAAACACCCGUGGCUAAGGCGGCUCUCUAGUACGGUACUGACGCUGAGACGCGAAAGCGUGGGGAGCAAACAGG